AUUGAACGCUGGCGGCAUGCCUUACACAUGCAAGUCGAACGGCAGCAUGGAAGAGCUUGCUCUUCUGAUGGCGAGUGGCGAACGGGUGAGUAAAGCAUCGGAACGUACCGUGUAGUGGGGGAUAACGUAGCGAAAGUUACGCUAAUACCGCAUACGCACUGAGGUGGAAAGCAGGGGAUCGCAAGACCUUGCGCUAUACGAGCGGCCGAUGUCAGAUUAGCUAGUUGGUAGGGUAAAGGCCUACCAAGGCGACGAUCUGUAGCGGGUCUGAGAGGAUGAUCCGCCACACUGGGACUGAGACACGGCCCAGACUCCUACGGGAGGCAGCAGUGGGGAAUUUUGGACAAUGGGGGAAACCCUGAUCCAGCCAUGCCGCGUGAGUGAAGAAGGCCUUCGGGUUGUAAAGCUCUUUCGGCUGGGAAGAAAUCGCACAGGCUAAUACUCUGUGUGGAUGACGGUACCAGCACAAGAAGCACCGGCUAACUACGUGCCAGCCGCCGCGGUAA
rnacentral:rRNA from 1 species